UCAUAACUGAUUUUGAUCUAUAGAAGGC
rnacentral:sRNA from 1 species